UACGUAGGGUGCGAGCGUUAAUCGGAAUUACUGGGCGUAAAGCGUGCGCAGGCGGCUAUUUAAGCUUGCUGUGAAAGCCCCGGGCUUAACCUGGGAACUGCAGUGAGGACUGGAUGGCUGGAGUGUGGCAGAGGGGGGUGGAAUUCCACGUGUAGCAGUGAAAUGUGUAGAGAUGUGGAGGAACACCGAUGGCGAAGGCAGCCCCCUGGGCUAACACUGACGCUCAGGCACGAAAGCGUGGGGAGCAAACAGG
rnacentral:rRNA from 1 species